UACGUAGGGUGCAAGCGUUGUCCGGAAUUAUUGGGCGUAAAGAGCUCGUAGGCGGUUUGUCGCGUCUGCUGUGAAAACGCGAGGCUCAACCUCGCGCCUGCAGUGGGUACGGGCAGACUAGAGUGCGGUAGGGGUGACUGGAAUUCCUGGUGUAGCGGUGGAAUGCGCAGAUAUCAGGAGGAACACCGAUGGCGAAGGCAGGUCACUGGGCCGCAACUGACGCUGAGGAGCGAAAGCAUGGGGAGCGAACAGG
rnacentral:rRNA from 1 species